AGCGAUUUACAGUCUGUGUUGAAAUAGGUGUUAAGGAAGCCCUUAGAUAGGGCGGUGAUAAUAGUCCAGCGGAGGGCUAGAGCUUCAGCGACGAGUGGUGAUGACACGUUUCUCUCCAUUCUCGAGUCAUGGUGAAUGGUUUGACCUUCUCUGUUCUGAAAGAUACAUCCGAAGGCUGCUGUAUUACUUUCUUUUGACCACGCUGUAUCAGAAAAACCAAGCGUUAGAGCAUCCAGGUCGGGUAUGCUCAAUGGUUGGCUCUGUAGUCAUGAUGGUGGGGCUGAAGGUGCCUGCGCCGAGUUCCAUUCGCGUGCGUUCCGGAUCGCUCUAGAGACAGUUUCCUCUGGAGAGAUUCUCCAAUCUUCAAAAAUCAGUUUAUUUCUCGCUGUCCAAAUUUCCCAGCAGAUCCAAGGAAAAAUAUCGGAUAUUAUUCCUAUCGGGGGUAAGCAGGCUGAAGUUUUGCAAGCCUUUAAAGCAUCAGUGAAGGCUGUGAUGUUUAUGUAGCUGUCAGGAUCAAAGUGAGGUGAUAGUAUCGUUGAAGACCAGACUCGUUUUGCAAACGCACAGUAG
rnacentral:lncRNA from 1 species